UACGUAGGGGGCAAGCGUUGUCCGGAAUCAUUGGGCGUAAAGCGCGUGUAGGCGGCCCGGUAAGUCCGCUGUGAAAGUCGGGGGCUCAACCCUCGAAUGCCGGUGGAUACUGUCGGGCUAGAGUGCGGGAGAGGCGAGUGGAAUUCCUGGUGUAGCGGUGAAAUGCGCGGAUAUCAGGAGGAACACCAAUUGCGAAGGCAGCUCGCUGGAACGUAACUGACGCUGAGACGCGAAAGCGUGGGGAGCAAACAGG
rnacentral:rRNA from 1 species